rnacentral:rRNA from 1 species
GACGGUACCUGCAGAAAACGCACCGGCUAACUAUGUGCCACCAGCCGCGGUAAUACAUAGGGUGCAAGCGUUGUCCGGAAUUAUUGGGCGUAAAGAGCUCGUAGGUGGUUUGUCGCGUCGGAUGUGAAAAUCCGGGGCUCAACCCCGGACCUGCAUUCGAUACGGGCAAACUUGAGUGUGGUAGGGGAGACUGGAAUUCCUGGUGUAGCGGUGGAAUGCGCAGAUAUCAGGAGGAACACCAAUGGCGAAGGCAGGUCUCUGGGCCAUUACUGACACUGAGGAGCGAAAGCGUGGGGAGCGAACAGGAUUAGAUACCCUGGUAGUCCACGCCGUAAACGGUGGGCGCUAGGUGUGGACACCAUUCCACGCUCUGCGACGCAAGCUAAACGCAUUAAGCGCCCCCGCCUGGGGAGUACGAUCGCAAGAUUAAAACUC